ensembl:lncRNA
GCGUUGCAUUUCUGUCCGGGUAGGUACCGGUUGUAUUGGAACCGGUUCCAUAUUGGUACCGGUUCUCGGUACCCAACCCUAAUUAUGUAUGGCUGUUUGGUCUGAGCGACACGUAAUGCAACUUGAUAAGAGGCUUUUAAAGUUAGCUCGCACACUUUGGCUGAUUGUCUCAUCAAUGUCUGCUGGCCCUCAAAAGAUUUUAAACAGGUAAUUAAAAAAUAUUUCAAGUGAGCAUGGGUUGUCUUUAAGUGUCGUUGCAGCUUUGAUGGUUUCAUAGUUUCGUUUGAUAGCACGGGAGGGCAAACCACGUAGUGGUUACACUGGUAAUUCGUCACCAUCGGUCUUUUUAGGUGAAGGCAAACUUCAGAUAAUUCUCUGAAUAUUUACGUGUCUUCUCCCGUUUGGCUUUUGGCUGUUCGUGGAAGGGGUGUUGGCAUCCUCUGAAUGUAGGUCAUCUGAACCGCCAUCAGUGGUGUCUGACGUGGAGCUUUUGUUCCGAGAAAUUACAAAACGAUUAAAGCAGCAACACAACGUCCCCGGGCUGCAGAUCUCGUGUUGCUGUGCGCCAAGGACAACAAAGCCAUGUGUUUAUGUUUACAUAUUACAUUGUACAUUAUUAUUUACAUUUGAUAUGAUGUGAUUCACAAAUAUGAUGUGAUUCAUCAAUUGCCGACUGUAAAGAGAUACCAAAUGCUGAAGGUUUCGGUUUGUGAUUUUAUAUUUUAUUUUUACCUUGUGGUCAGGCAUGUAUCAUUAAAUUUAAGGUCUGUAUUUGGAAUGAAAUAGUUUAAAAAUCAAUAAUGGUAAAAAAUCUUUUAAAGAAACAACAUUUAAAAAUGCAAUUCUUGCUGUUUAAUGGAAUAUGACAGGUACAGAUUAGGUCAUCAGUUAGGCCUAUGCAUGUUUGUCCUAACCUAGAAUAGUCUAUCCUCUACUAGUCCCAACAGCAGGUUAUUCAGCAAUGUAACUCAAUCUUACUCUGAUUGUCAAAUUUAAUUAUGUUUUGAGACUAAAGCAUGACAAAAAAAAUCGAAGCCCAUGCCUAAUGAGUAUGAUUUCGACUUGCAACAGGAUCGUGUGCGGCAACAGUUCCUCCUCUUGAAUUCAUGGUGCGGAGCUCCCCCUAAGUCUACACUUAGAAGUAUUGCAGUUCCAACACAAUCAACACAUCCAACACAACCACAGGGGGCAGCGAGAUCACAACGGUCCUCAUCUGGACUUCAGCCACUAUGGGAAAACAUUUUAACAUGUCUACCAAUGCAUUCCUUCUCUCUCACUACCAACUUGUGUGGUUUAUAUUUUUCCGAUGAUAGUUUGUGUGAUAUGCUACUACUGCAUCAUACUUUUUAAUGCAGCUGUUGCUCAUUUAAUAUGAUGUGAUUCACAAUGAUCUUUAGGCUUCAUCAAUUGCCGUCUAUAAAGAGAUCCCAAAUGCUGGUUUCAGUUUGUGAUUUUAUAUUUUAUUUUAUAUGGCCACCUUGUGGUCAGGCAUGUAUCAUUCAAAGUACCUAAAUUCUGAUUAAACAGUAAACAAAGCUGGAAUACACUGACUGAAUGGAUAUAUAAAAAAGAUUUGAAAUAUUGCGGCCACUCCUUAAUAUGUUUGCAUGCUGUGUAUUUUAUUGAUGUUCAUCAAAAAAUAAAACCUUUAACCUAAAAGGAACACUCAUUUUGUCACCAUUAAAAUCAAGGGGUGGCCACUGGGUACCUAUGUUUAGGGGGGUGAAUUGUUGACAAGUCAACACUCAGAAAACAAUAUCUGAAGGGGAAAGAAUGGGAUGUGGUCUCCAAAAAGCUUUAAAGAAUGCCAGAAAGUCUAAAGAAUUUGUUAGUCUAUUUUUUGUUGUAAAAAUGUCCAAAUUGAAAAAGAAUAACCAUUCUGCUGUCAUUAAAAUAAAGGGGUAGUCACUAGCUAACCAUGUUUAGGAGGAUUAAAUAUUGACAGUUUGAUAUAUAUAAACCUCUAUCUGAAGGGAAAGGAGAAUGGGGUGGUGGUGGUGGUGAUAAAAGUUCUGAGGAGCUCUGACCAGCAAGUGAUGCCAGGAGCCCACCCAAAACCCUUAAAGAUUUCAGUUAUCAAUCAGAAUGCAAGUUUGUAAUAAUUUGAAAAAUAUUUUAGGAUGGAGAGAUGAGGAGCUCUGACCAGCAAACUAUGCAGGGAGCUCACUCACAACUGCUUCUAAUAUUCCAAUCAUAUAAAUCCCAAAAUCCAAAAUGAAAUGCUAAGAGGUAAUUUAGUCCAGUUGGUACCAAAGUAGUCCUUGCAUUUGCUUGGUAUAUUUCCAGGUAAGGAAAUGAGGAGCUCAAACCUGCCAAUGACUGCAGGGAGCUCACCCAAAAAUAUACAUUGUGUAUUUCCUUUUAUUUUCAGUCCAUUUUACUUAAUCUUUAUACUUAUACUACCCACAGUACUAUAUUUCAGAUCAUUUGUGGGGAGGUUGGGAAUGUGUUUCAUGACGUUUUUGAAUGAUGAAGUUUAAUCAUCUGAAAAGAAAGAGAUGAGGGGCUCAAACCUGCAAAUGACUGCAGGGAGCUCACCCACAACUUUACUUAAUCUUUAUACUUAUACUACUCACAGUACUAUAUUUUAGAUCAUUUGUGGGGAGGUUGGGGAUGUUUCAUGACGUUUUUGAAUGAUGAAGUUUAAUCAUCUGAAAAAGAAAGAGAUGAGGGGCUCAAACCUGCAAAUGACUGCAGGGAGCUCACCCAAAACUGCUUUUUAAAUUUCAAUUCAUAAUUUAUAUGACAAUAUAAGAAGCUUAUUUAUAUAAUGGAAAUUCUUAUAUAUUUGAACUUUGAAUGGGGCAGUGGUUUAAAUCAUUAAAAGUUCGUUUGAGCUGGCUGGUGAGCAGAACUUAAUUGAAGACCACUUCUCAAAUAAAACAAGUUUGUUAUGUUUGUGCAUGACCAAUACACGGGAGGACGGGGCAUUAAUGUAAAUUAAAUGAAAAUCUUGUGGACCUUUUGAGUUUCCUUUCAGUAAGGUUAAGUAAAAAAUAAUGAAACAAAAUCAAAAUAAAACAAAUAAAAAUAGAAUAAAAGAAACUAAUCCAUUACUCCUCUGGAUGAAGUGCAGCUUGUGAAGCUGCGUCUAACCCCCUUGAAUAUGCGGUGAAAGAAACGGCCAACUCUGCCCUUCUUCUUGGGUAUCUUGUCUUUGCCUGGUGAUCAAAAGACACAAUUAUAUUUGCGGGCUUUAGAGAGUUUUUUGCUCUACUAAUAACUAUCCAUUCAUCACAAGCAUAUGAAUCUCAGCUAUUCCAUACUGCCAUUACUCAUCCAGCCCUGGAAGAUUUUUAAAUGGUAACUACCAAGACUUUUUAACAAAGAAAAUCACUCACCCAUAGAAGAUCCCAAAACAAAACCCUCUGUGAUGGUUGAGGAGUAUUCAUUGGUGUGGCAUUCUAUGGCCUGUAAAUACAAAAAUGCAAUAUCUGUGACCUAUACAGAAAUGGUACCAUCCCCAAUAGAUACUGGAGAGCAUACCUGGGUAAUAUAUAUAUUCCUUACAUAGAAAAACCGUCUACCUCUGCUUGAAUGGUUGCCAUCAUCUUUGUCUGCUGUUUCUUUCCACACUCUGUUUGUUCCUUUGGUGUCCUGGGAACAUCAGUGGAGACAGUCACAUUUGAGGAGCACACUGCUCUGGUUUCCUUCAUUCCAGAGGGCUGCCUCGGGGGUGACUUUAAGAUGCCUUCCACAAUGAGUUUUGAAAUGCAGGAAUAAAACUCGGGGCACUUUGCAAAUGUCAGGCUCUCAAGAUGUUCUGGAGAACCAUACAUUUUGAUUAACUGUUUAUAGACCAUGAGGACAACCUGACAGACCUCAACAGAGUCCAGGCAAACAGUGGCCUUCCGUUUGUUCCUGGAAACACUCAAAAAGAGACUGGAAGAAAGUUCAGAGAAGAUGGUGUCAAAGAGGCUGCAGUCAGCCAGGUUAAAGUCCUUUAAACCCAUCGGUAACAGGUGUAACAGGAGUCUGCUGACAAUAUCCUUGACUGUCCCAAGGUGCACCAUCAUCAUUAAAGGCUUGGUAUCCAUGGAAGAUGCGCAUCUAUGGUAGGGGUUAGCCAAACAGUCAGGGUCGGUAGGGACGUCAGGUCUGAUGACAGCAGUUAGUGGUCGCACGGCAGGUGCAAAGGUCGUAGCAGGUGCGCUUAACAGAGAGUCAGAGCUGGAAGUGGAGGCUAUGUGACGAGCUACUGAUUCUGAAAGGAGUGU